rnacentral:rRNA from 1 species
AAUCAACGCUGGCGGCAGGCUUAACACAUGCAAGUCGAACGCACCGCAAGGUGAGUGGCAGACGGGUGAGUAACACGUGGGGAUCUGCCCAAUGGUACGGAAUAGCUCCGGGAAACUGGAAUUAAUACCGUAUGUGCCCUUCGGGGGAAAGAUUUAUCGCCAUUGGAUGAACCCGCGUCGGAUUAGCUAGUUGGUGAGGUAAAGGCUCACCAAGGCGACGAUCCGUAGCUGGUCUGAGAGGAUGAUCAGCCUCACUGGGACUGAGACACGGUCCAGACUCCUACGGGAGGCAGCAGUGGGGAAUAUUGGACAAUGGGCGAAAGCCUGAUCCAGCCAUGCCGCGUGUGUGAAGAAGGUCUUCGGAUUGUAAACUUCUUUUAUCCGUGACGAUAAUGACGGUAGCGGACGAAUAAGCCCUGGCUAACUCUGUGCCAGCCGCCGCCGUAAUAC